AUGUGGUGGUUUGCCGCUGGACAUUAUUACCAUUUCUGGCUUACUGGCGAACAAAGCUCAGACCGUGGAUCAACGGGCCCAAGUACAAAGUUCAAUUGGUUAUGCACUUCAAAGAUAUCCAAGUUUGAAAGAAUGAUAAAGAUACUAUCCCUUAGUUACUCUGACCUCCAUCAAGAUCUGAAAACUUGUCUAUUGUAUCUGAGUAUAUUCCCAGAGGAUUAUCCCAUUUAUAAGAGCCGUCUGAUAAGAAGAUGGAUUGCAGAGGGAUUUAUUCAAAGGAGAAGCGGGCACACUAUGUAUGAACUGGGGGAGAGGUGCUUCAGUGAGCUGAUCAACAGGAGCCUGAUCCAACCAUGGGAUAUAAAUAGGUACAGGGAGGUGACAGUAUGCCGAGUUCAUGACACAGUCCUUGAUUUCAUAGUGUACAAGUCAGUUGAGGAGAACUUUGUCACCCUACUUGGUGUUCUGGAGCUUAGGCCUCCUUUGGUUUAG
rnacentral:rRNA from 1 species